rnacentral:rRNA from 1 species
GAUGAACGCUGGCGGCGUGCCUAAUACAUGCAAGUCGAGCGAAUGGAUUAAGAGCUUGCUCUUAUGAAGUUAGCGGCGGACGGGUGAGUAACACGUGGUUAACCUGCCCAUAAGACUGGGAUAACUACGGGAAACCGGGGCUAAUACCGGAUAACAUUUUGAACCGCAGGGUUCGAAAUUGAAAGGCGGCUGCGGCUGUCACUUAUGGAUGGACCCGGGUCGCAUUUGCUAGUUGGUGAGGUAACGGCUCACCAAGGCAACGAUGCGUAGCCGACCUGAGAGGGUGAUCGGCCACACUGGGACUGAGACACGGCCCAGACCCCUACGGGAGGCAGCAGUAGGGAAUCUUCCGCAAUUGACGAAAGUCUGACGGAGCAACGCCGCGUGAGUGAUGAAGGCUUUCGGGUCGUAAAACUCUGUUGUUAGGGAAGAACAAGUGCUAGUUGAAUAAGCUGGCACCUUGACGGUACCUAACCAGAAAGCCACGGCUAACUACGUGCCAGCCGCCGCGGUAA